CGGCACAAUUCUGCGAAAAUUCAACGAAACUGUGUAAAAUAUAGUUUGAUCACUCUGUGAAAAGCCGCCAUUGGAGUCCGGAAUUUUGCGCGUGCGUACAAGUGUAUGAGCUAAUAAACGAAAAAUGUACCACAAGCAUGGCAUGAGUCGACUAUUACGUACAUAAAUGCGAGCUUAUUACUAUAUUAUCUAAAUUAUGGAACCGAGGGAAUCGAUGGCAUUUUGGCUUCAUCGUUGCACCCUGAGCCUGCGAUGAGCUAACGCAAACUCGAUUUCUCGACUACGAAAAAAAAACAGAAAAAGAGGGAUUUAAGACACUUGGCCUACAGGCCAGUGUAAUUAUUGAUGACAUAAUUAUAGAAAGGUAUUUUAUAUUCACUGAUACUACAAAAACUGCGCAUGCUUCCUCUCAACCGAAAAAACGUGUUUUGUUUUCCUGUCAAAACAUUCAGGGAAUGCGACUACACUCCUAGGCCUAUUACUGCUAAAAUGUCAAACUAUUAUUAGGUAAUUUCAGCACAAUUCCCCGCAGACCAAUC